GACCGCUCCGGUGGCCUAGUUGUUAGAGUGUCUGCCUCAGAUGCGGGAGGUUGUGGGUUCAAACACCGGCCGAGUCA